AUUGAACGCUGGUGGCAGGCUUAACACAUGCAAGUCGAGCGGAGAUGAGGUGCUUGCACCUUAUCUUAGCGGCGGACGGGUGAGUAAUGCUUAGGAAUCUGCCUAUUAGUGGGGGACAACAUUCCGAAAGGAAUGCUAAUACCGCAUACGCCCUACGGGGGAAAGCAGGGGAUCUUCGGACCUUGCGCUAAUAGAUGAGCCUAAGUCUGAUUAGCUAGUUGGUGGGGUAAAGGCCUACCAAGGCGACGAUCUGUAGCGGGUCUGAGAGGAUGAGCCGCCACACUGGGACUGAGACACGGCCACGACUCCUACGGGAGGCAGCAGUGGGGAAUAUUGGACAAUGGGCGGAAGCCUGAUCCAGCCAUGCCGCGUGUGUGAAGAAGGCCUUUUGGUUGUAAAGCACUUUAAGCGAGGAGGAGGCUACCUGGAUUAAUACUCUAGGAUAGUGGACGUUACUCGCAGAAUAAGCACCGGCUAACCCUGUGCCAGCCGCCGCGGUAAGAC
rnacentral:rRNA from 1 species